GUCCUCUUGAGUAUGAUUUGAGGUCUGGCCUGCUCACUGACAGGGUUUUAAAGAGCCGCGGUAUUUUGACCGUGCAAAGGUAGCAUAAUCAUUAGUCUCUUAAUUAGGGGCUGGAAUGAAUGGCUUGACGAGAAAUCAGCUGUCUCUUAAUAAUUUUUAAAAUUUAACUUUUGAGUCAAAAGGCUUAAAUUUUUCUUUAGGACGAGAAGACCCUAUAGAGCUUGACAUUUUAUUUUUAUAUGGUUUUUUGUUGGUCUUCCUAUAUUUAAUGAUAAUGUUUUGUUGGGGUGACAUGAAGAAUGAGUAAACUCUUCAUUAUAAAAUCAUUGAUUUAUGUUUAUCAUGAUCCAUAAUUUAUGAUCAUAAGAUUAAGUUACCUUAGGGAUAACAGCGUAAUUGUUUUUGAGAGCUCAUAUUGACAAAGCAGAUUGCGACCUCGAUGUUGGAUUAAGAAAAAUUUUGGGUGCAGGAGCCCAAUAAUUAGGUCUGUUCGACCUUUAAAUUCUUACA
rnacentral:rRNA from 1 species